rnacentral:rRNA from 1 species
GAUGAACGCUGGCGGCGUGCCUAAUACAUGCAAGUCGAGCGAACAGACGAGGAGCUUGCUCCUCUGACGUUAGCGGCGGACGGGUGAGUAACACGUGGAUAACCUACCUAUAAGACUGGGAUAACUUCGGGAGACCGGAGCUAAUACCGGAUAAUAUAUUGAACCGCAUGGUUCAAUAGUGAAAGACGGUUUUGCUGUCACUUAUAGAUGGAUCCGCGCCGCAUUAGCUAGUUGGUAAGGUAACGGCUUACCAAGGCAACGAUGCGUAGCCGACCUGAGAGGGUGACCGGCCACACUGGAACUGAGACACGGUCCAGACUCCUACGGGAGGCAGCAGUAGGGAAUCUUCCGCAAUGGGCGAAAGCUUGACGGAGCAACGCCGCGGAGUGAUGAAGGUCUUCGGAUCGUAAAACUCUGUUAUUAGGGAAGAACAAAUGUGUAAGUAACUAUGCACGUCUUGACGGUACCUAAUCAGAAAGCCACGGCUAACUACGUG